rnacentral:lncRNA from 1 species
GCUGGGGGAAGACUCCACAGCGCCUUACAGAGAACUAAAACAACGCUUGAGCCCAGGAGUUCGAGGCUCCAGUGAGCUGUGAUCGAGCCACUGCACCCAGGCCUGGGCCACAGAGUGAGACCCUGUCUCAAAACAACGAGGACAACAAAAAACAAACCAAACCAACACACACACACACACACACACACACACACACACACACACACACACUCCUAAAUCAAGAGUUACAAAGAGCCAGACAGCCGGCGAACUUGGGCACAGGAGAGCUCUGCGCAUAGGGGCAAGAAGCGCCCUGAUGCAAGCGGGGCUGAACUGUGCACUCCCGGGGGCCAGGGCUGCGGCCACGUGGAGAAAGCGGGAAGGAAGCGGGCGGGGCUGUCAAGCAGGCCUAGGGCGAUCAGCCCUGGCACAGGCUGCCUUCAUAAGCAGGAGCCAUCCGCAGUGUGGCAAUCUCUUCUCCAGCCUGGCUCCUGGAAGGAGCCAGCUGAUCUUUUUCCCUUUCGUGUUCUUUGCCCUAAGUACUCCAGAAUUUUAAAUUAUUCUUAAAACAGACCCACCGGCAUUGGCUGCGCUCCGAUUACUUCGUUAAGCAGUGUCAUGCUUCUUCUUCUUUUUUUCUUUUUCUUUUUNUUUUUUUUUAAUUUUUCCCUCCUACUGUGAGAACUGUUCACUUGGAGACUCCCUGUGUUAAUUACAAAGAGCCCUUUUAACCAUAGGUCACAGGACUUGGCUGUCUUGACAGGAAAUAAGGAAACAAGCUACCUUCCUGGAAAAAAAAAAUUCAAACUUCUACUUCUCAAAUUAGUUAAAUGAAGCUUGUCGACGGUUGGGAGUUGAGCCUUAUGACAGUUGGCUAAUUGCAGUUGGUACAUUAACUAUGUUUUAACCAGAGCUGUUUGGGAUCUAAGUAGAUUAAAAAAAUAAAGCAAGCCUGGGCAUUUCCAACGAAAAACGCUUAAAAUAACCACAAAGUUAAUAUUGGUUUUACUUGCUAUAUGUAUUACAAUACAAAAUGGAUUCCUGUAUCUUUAACAUUGUAAUUAAGUAAAUUUACAAAUACUAACAUUUUUUAAAUGACACUAAAGCUACUUUAAAUCCUAGGAAGGCCUCUCUCUCUCUCUGCUCUUUCUUUUUUGA